UCGGCGAAUGAGCAAGGCGGCGGCACGGGGAAAGCGAAUGCGAUACUCUUCCCCCGGGUACAGUGACUCUAAUGCCGGCGAGCGAGUACGCCACCUUGAGUCAGGCGCGGCUGCGUCGUCUUAGCAAUGGGAUGCCAACCUCCUCCUUUCCCUGUGGAGAACAACGCGCAGUUGAGUCAGCUCACAACCCAGGGAAUCGGUUUUACAUGAAGCUGACUCAGCAUGGACGGCACGUCCUUGGAAGGAGAAACCACGUGACACGAUUGGCCUAAUCUCGGGCGCCGAACGGCGGCUCCGGCGCGGAAAAGGAAUACGGUGCUGCGGAAAAUCAAACUUUGUGGGCACUGCGUCGGUCUUAAGGCGCACCGUCUGCCCAGUCCGGUCAAAGCAGCCCUCCUCAAAAUGUCUGCUGCAGAUCACCGAGGCCUUCGACGGCAACCAGUAUUUUCUGCGCAGGUUCUGCACCCAUUUCUUCAGUAUGCCAGGGCGGCUGUGGGGAAACCUGUAUCGAGAGACCACUUGUGUCUUAAGUACUGUCAGAAAUAACACUGCACACAAUCAAUUAAUAUUAUGGCAGUCACUACAAGAAGCUGAUGUAAUAAAUCCUACCCAUAAGUUGUGUUCA